rnacentral:rRNA from 1 species
CAGCCAUGCCGCGUGUGUGAAGAAGGCCUUUUGGUUGUAAAGCACUUUAAGCGAGGAGGAGGCUACCUAGAUUAAUACUCUGGGAUAGUGGACGUUACUCGCAAAAUAACCACCGGCUAACUCUGUGCCAGCAGCCGCGGUAAUACAGAGGGUGCGAGCGUUAAUCGGAUUUACUGGGCGUAAAGCGUGCGUAGGCGGCUGAUUAAGUCGGAUGUGAAAUCCCUGAGCUUAACUUAGGAAUUGCAUUCGAUACUGGUCAGCUAGAGUAUGGGAGAGGAUGGUAGAAUUCCAGGUGUAGCGGUGAAAUGCGUAAAGAUCUGGAGGAAUACCGAUGGCGAAGGCAGCCAUCUGGCCUAAUACUGACGCUGAGGUACGAAAGCAUGGGGAGCAAACAGGAUUAUAUACCCUGGUAGUCCAUGCCGUAAACGAUGUCUACUAGCCGUUGGGGUCUUUGAGGCUUUAGUGGCGCAGCUAACGCGAUAAGUAGACCGCCUGGGGAGUACGGUCGCAAGAC